ensembl:lncRNA
UGAGAGGACGUGACCCCUGUGGCCAACAGUUGUCCAGCUGGACCAGGCAAUGGGAGACUCCUUACCUCCUCGCACGUCUGCCCCCAGGAGCCACUUCAAGGAGGCAGCCCGUCUGGACAGUGCACAAGACUGAACCUGCACCCGAGUAACUUCUUACUCAAGAAGGCCCUGUGUCUCUGAAGGUGGCAUGUACGAGCGGGCAGAGAACACCAGGGAGCUUGCUGGAAAUGCGGAAUCUCAAGACUCACUUUAGGAAAGAUCCCCAGUCUGCUCAAUUUUGAAAACGUCUCCUUACAAGUACUGACCAAGAACAGUUGGUUCAAGGCCAUGAUGGAACUCAAAGGCAAAAGGAAAAGGAGAUGGCUAAAUGCAGGAAAGCUGCUUUCUCAAGAAUAUCAUGGAGCGGAGGCUUCCCAGCCCUCAACUUCUCGACUCCCGGCGCUGGAACCCGCCUCGAACAAGAAGACGAGACAACAGCUCUCAAGGCCAAAUGCAGGCUAGUGGGAAAAUGCCAAACUGCACAAGCUACAUGCGCCCCCCUUCCCAACCCAAAACCCCAAAUAAAAAUCCCUACCCGUUCCUCAUCGGGGAGCUAGCAAUUUUUGAGGCAUGAGCCCUUGCUUUGCUCCCUGUGCCUGGCAUAGUAAAAACCUUUCCUCUCCACUCAAAA